GUGCAGCAGUCGCGAAUUUUUCUCAAUGGGGGCAACCCUGAAGGAGCGACGCCGCGUGGAGGAUGAAGGUCUUCGGGUUGUAAACUCCUGUCAUUUGAGAACAAGGUGCACAUGUUAACUGCAUGUGCAUUGAUAGUAUCAGAAGAGGAAGGGACGGCUAACUCUGUGCCAGCAGCCGCGGUAAUACAGAGGUCCCAAGCGUUGUUCGGAUUCAGUUGGGCGUAAAGGGUGUGUAGGUGGCGCCGUAAGUCGGGUGUGUAAUCUCGGGGCUUAACUCCGAAACUGCAUUCGAUACUGCGGUGCUUGAGGACUGGAGAGGAGACUGGAAUUCAUGGUGUAGCAGUGAAAUGCGUAGAGAUCAUGAGGAAGACCAGUGGCGAAGGCGGGUCUCUGGACAGUUCCUGACACUGAGACACGAAGGCCAGGGGAGCAAACGGGAUUAGAUACCCCCGUAGU
rnacentral:rRNA from 1 species